rnacentral:lncRNA from 1 species
UUUGAAGAGUCUAGGUGUAGUGGUUUUCAAUCAGGACCGAUUUGAAGAUUCUAAGUGGUUUUCAAGCCGAAUCGGAUGCUGCGAAUCGGAUGCCAACUUCAGCGUCGUUUGUGAGCAAGGGAGCGCGUUUUCAAAGAUCGCGGUGACCUGCUUGGGGAGAGCACAGAGUGGCUUCUUAGUAGGUCAUUAAUGGAUUUUGCCGUUUCCUCUUGGUUUUGCAGUACUGCCUCCGUCAGCACUCUUGGCGCACGAUGAAGGGACAAUGGACGGCCCCGGUUCCUCCGACUCCUCCAGCACCAGCACCAUGGGACUCGCUGUGAAAGAAACAAAUUCACAUUAAUUUAGUUUAGUUUAGAAAUGUUUUUUUACUUCUAAAUGUCAACAUUUAAAUAAAAUGUUUGCAAACACAGAAUUCCAGUUAGUUUCUUGUACCUUCAAUUAGACGGCCCGGCUUG